GCCCUCUCCAUCCUUCUCAGAUGCUCCCGGGGCCGUCCCAGAAGGCCAGGGCUUGAGGGCCAAUGAAUUGCCCGGAUGAACCCCAAAGUAGAUUGAGUGAUUGCACCCGUGUCACAAAACCGUGAGGUUCACCACAAUGUCAAGUACUGUCCAGUGAUCCUGAAACACUGCUGAGACCAGAGUAGUUGGAAAACAGGACUGGAAAUGGAUUGCCGUUGAAAACAGAAGGGUGCAAGGCUCUCUGAGUGGUUACAAGGGAACUUUCUGUCUUUAGAAGAUGUAUUAACUGGGUGGAGAGAUUGAAUGUACGCUGAUGAAAAUCUAGAAAGCAUCGCAAUGGAAUGCAAAGACUAACUCAGCGAGGACACGUGAGAGCCAGUCUUUCUCUCCUAACAUUCUCUACGAUUCAGUCAAACUAGGGUACAGGUGAAGGAUCAGACUCAGGAAGAUGAAUGACUUGCCUGAAGUCGCCGAGGUAGAGGGACGGAGUAAAGAACCAGCUGCCAAUCUGUCAGCUUCCAGAGGUCUUCUACUACGUGAUCUUUCCUUCCAAGCACUGGAAGGGUGGGGAGGGAAGGAUGUGUCAGGGCUGGAU